GCGUCUGCCGGGCCCUCCCCGGCCCCCGCCUCGGGCCAGGGGAAGGGGCCGGGAGGGCUCGUGUCCGAAAUAAUCCCGACCCCGCGAUACCCAGAAAGGAGAAAGCGGCGCAGGGCUCCCGGGUGGGAGCUCCCGGCCCGGCAGCGGCCGCAGGUUCGGGGCAGCCAGGGGGAGGCGAGCCCGGCUCGGCCCGAGGAAGAGGGGCUGAGAGCAGGGCCGUGGGGCGAUCAGCCUUGGCUGGCCGGGGGACAAGGGGCUCGGACACCGGCCCCCCAGGAGCUAAGCGGCAGAAGCACACAGACUCCCCAACUGAGACUGGGGCCCUGAUGUCCUGACCUAGACACUGUACAGAGGCAGUUCUUGUUCUGAAAGGAGUACAGUCUAAAUAGCCAAGACAAAGGUUGGAGAAAGGACAGCUUAUCCUUAUUUUACAUAGAGAGAUUAUGUGACUAGCCCACGGUCACAUAGGUAGUCUCUGGCAAAACCGGGAACUCAAGCCAGAUCUCCUGAGUUCCUAACUCUUCACCACAAGACCAUUCUCUCUCAUUCGAGGCUCUCAUCAUUACGUUUCGAAGGCGUUUCUUCACAUCAGCUAUAUGUUUCCAGAGUGGCUGCUUCCCCAAUGUGAAAAAUAUGACUUUUUAACUUCAAAAUUUGAUGCUGCCAGUUUAUUUUAUUUAAAAAGUUUAUGUAGGAGAUUAAACAUAUUAAAAGCUGAAGGACACAGUUUCAAAAAGUCUGCUUAGUUACCAUUAAUAUCCUUUGUAAUUUUCAGUAUUAUUUCACUUGGGGUUGUACAGAUUACUGUUCACCUCCCUACAAAAUCUGAAUGAGGAGCUUUAUACAUCCCCAGUCUGAGUAUUUUAAUUAAGAAUGAAAGUUAAAAUGACAAUAGUGUUGAUAUUCAGUGAACUGUCAUUAAGUUUAAAAACACAGAUAGGAAAGGGAUGAUUCAAGAACAGCCAUAAAUAGGUACUAAAACAAAUAAUCAAAAUACUAUUGUAUUAGGGAUUGUGUGAAGUAUGUUGUAAUGUUCCCCCUGGUCGGCAAUAUUACAGCAGCUACUCCUAACGAAUCUUUCAUGAGCCUUUCCACAAUCUGGUAGUAAAGAUGCAGCAAUAGUUACUAUCACUGGAAAGGUAUAUUUCACUUUGAAAACUGGGGCAAGGUUGCAGGAUCUGUAUAGCCACUUGGAGAGGGGACAGGUGCUCUCAGCCUCAAUGUGUUUUGAAUUAAAGCGUUAUGAAACCAUUUCCUUACCAAAAAAAAUGAAGUGACAUAUUUAAAAAAAAUUGACAACCCAAGUUAACAGUACACAUGCUUAGACUUUCACAUUGCAAAUAUACUAAUAAAGGAAAACUGGAAGGCUUUUAAAGCUGCCAAGGCUUUCUCCUCCAAGUAGAUGAGGGCAUGUAGCACCAUGUAACCUCAACUCCAAAGGCAGUCAACACCAUACAGCAUCAGGCUCCAAGAAAUGAUCAGAGGUGGUUUUGAGUUUUUGUUUUUUUAAAUUGCAGUAGUUUUAUUAACCUAUUUACCAGAGUAGCUGAUAGUGCCUUUUAAAAAAUAACUAUACACCCUUGAAUUAGGGUCCAAAUUUUCCAGUGACACUAGACAACACUAAUGGUGAAAACUUCCAAAGGCCCAGCACUAAGGAUUUAACUUUACCAUAUGUAACACUAACAAGAUUCUGAUUAAAGAAAUCCAUUAUCUUGCUGUUCUCUUUGCUCUGCUCUUAUUUCUUACCUUCUAUUUUUUCGUGCAAUAAGUCCUCUGAAAAGUCAGAUGCCAAUGCAGCUAGUUUACUCAAGCCAAGAAGAGUUUUCUUUUUUGCAAAAUAUCUGGUCUCCACAUUUGCCAAAGCCUGCAGCGUUCUGUGAGCCUAAAGUUAAGAAGGGUAUUAGAAAUAACAUCGAAGGCACAGGGAGAAAGAGAAUAGAUGGACUCCUUUAGAACUAAACCCUUAUGGCUAUUUUUUCUUUAAACCCCCUCCCGCCAAGAUUUUAUAGGCUAUAACUCUCCAAAAAAAGAGUUGCACACUUGGAAACUGAAGUUCUGCAUUUUGCUGUUUAGGACAUGUGGCAAAAAGACUUCAAUAUUGAUGCAAAAGUGAUAUUAAUAAAAUUAUUGUAAUUUAAUUUUUUUAAGUAGUUACAAACUUGUCUGCGUCUUUUAAUACAUCUAGCUAAACGAAUGUUAUUGCAAGGAUGAUUGGAAAUGUAAUAAUACAUAUGUUUAGCUAGUUAUGUUACAAAAUGUUAAAGCUAAUCAGAGAAAUUCCAAAGAUUUCUGCUUCUAUUUUCUAACAACAAGCAAAUUACAUGCAGACAAACGUAAGCAUUCACGUUUUAGGAAAAUAACAUGCUUGUGAAAGAAAUGCAGGGUUUGUGUUAUCCGAUCAAUUAAUCUUGGUAAAGUGGGCGUUACUAACCCUACCCUCUAGCAAGAAAACCUGCUUGUGUUCUUAAAAACUUUAGCAAAAAACAUAUGAUGUUGGAGAUAUUUUAAACUUUUGUUUAUUUCUUAAUGCUGAAAUGACAAACACCUUUGUGAAAUGCAGACUUGCAAAUGUUAGCUAAAUGCAAUAGUCCUAAUAUAGCUCCUGAUGUCAUUGCUGUGUAAACAGUUAAAUGCUUUACGUACCGACAUGAAAUGUAAUGACCUUGCUAAACUAGUGUAAGAAGACAUUUAAGUAUAGAAUAUUUAUAUUAAUGAGGAAUUAAUUAAUUAGCAGCAGUGCAGAAGCAAACCCUCACCCAAUGCAGGAAGACAAGAAAAUCACAGUUCCAAAAACUGUCAUAUGGAAUCAACAAAUUAAGCUGAAGACUUCUGAAAGUUAUUUAAUUUUAAAAUACUGUUUUGAGAACUAAAAAGAUCUCUUUUAGAAGUGUUUGGACUUUUUGAAAACAAUUUCAUUUCCUAUCAAACUAAUAAAAUUGAAAGAAUAUCUCAGAACAGACAUUACAGAUCUAGAAUGGACUGAUUAAAAAGAGAGAAUUUCUCUUUUUCAAAGCUAGUUAUCUGAUGGUUUCCUGUUAUAAGAACAAAGGCAAUUAAAGAAAUGUUGCAUAUUCAUUAAACAGACUGCAUAUUUCAGGAGCUGAAAGGGUCACCUAGGCCAACCCCAAAGGCAUGAAGCCAAUGAAAAGACAGCAACUGUCUCGAAUCUAAACAGGCCUGAAAGUGAUGCAUUUUCCUAUAAUUUCAUGAAAACAGGAAGGAAAAGGGUAUAAAAACUCAGAAGAGAACACCCCCCCCCCCCAACCUGUGUUAUCCUGCUCAACAGACCCUCGGUUACACAGCACUCUAUAAACAAGCUGCCACAGACAGAUAAGAAAAAAACAGAGAAGACUCAAGAAGAAACCAAACUAUGGAAAACCUCCCCAAGACUUCAACAUGGAUUGAUGAGAGGAAUUUAACUAAUAAACUGCCA